rnacentral:rRNA from 1 species
CUACGGGAGGCAGCAGUUAAGAAUAUUGCGCAAUGGGCGAAAGCCUGACGCAGCGACGCCGCGUGAGGGAAGAAGGCUCUCGGGUUGUAAACCUCGUUAAGAUGGGAAGAAUAUUUACGGUCUAAUAGGCCGUGAGAUGACGGUACCAUCCUGCAGCCCCGGCUAAUUACGUGCCAGCAGCCGCGGUAAUACGUAAGGGGCAAGCGUUGUUCGGAUUCAUUGGGCGUAAAGGGCGCGUAGGCGGGUAAUUAAGUUGGAUGUUUAACCCAUAGGCUCAACCUGUGGUCUGCAUUCAAUACUGAUUAUCUUGAGUAUCAGAGGGGAAAGCGGAAUUCUCGGUGUAGCGGUGGAAUGCGUAGAUAUCGAGAGGAACACCAGUGGCGAAGGCGGCUUUCUGGCUGAAUACUGACGCUGAAGCGCGAAAGCGUGGGGAGCAAACAGGAUUAGAUACCCCGGUAGUCC